ACAGGAUUAGAUACCCUGGUAGUCCACGCUGUAAACGAUGAUCACUCGUUGUUGGCGAUACACCGUCAGCGACUGAGCGAAAGCAAUAAGUGAUCCACCUGGGGAGUACGGCGGCAACGCUGAAACUCAAAGGAAUUGACGGGGGCCCGCACAAGCGGAGGAACAUGUGGUUUAAUUCGAUGAUACGCGAGGAACCUUACCUGGGCUUGAAAGGGGAAUGACCUCCCGGGAAACCGGGAUUCUCUUCGGAGCGUUCUCCUAGGUGCUGCAUGGUUGUCGUCAGCUCGUGCCGUGAGGUGUCGGGUUAAGUCCCAUAACGAGCGCAACCCCUAUUGUUAGUUGCCAGCGGGUAAUGCCGGGAACUCUAACGAAACUGCCGGUGUAAACCGAGAGGAAGGUGGGGAUGACGUCAAAUCAGCACGGCCCUUAUGUCCAGGGCUACACACGUGUUACAAUGGCCGGCACAAAGGGCAGCUACUAGGUGACUAGAUGCUAAUCUCUAAAACCGGUCUCAGUUCGGAUCGAAGUCUGCAACUCGACUUCGUGAAGCUGGAUUCGCUAGUAAUCGCGCAUCAGCAACGGCGCGGUGAAUACGUUCCCGGGCCUUGUACACACCGCCCGUCAAGCCAUGGAAGCUGGGAGUACCUGAAGUCUGUAACCGAAAGGAGCGGCCUAGGGUAAAACCAGUGACUGGGGCUAAGUCGUAACAAGGUAAC
rnacentral:rRNA from 1 species